GAUGAACGCUAGCUACAGGCUUAACACAUGCAAGUCGAGGGGCAGCAUUUCAGUUUGCUUGCAAACUGGAGAUGGCGACCGGCGCACGGGUGAGUAACACGUAUCCAACCUGCCGAUAACUCGGGGAUAGCCUUUCGAAAGAAAGAUUAAUACCCGAUAGUAUAAUGAAACCGCAUGGUCUUAUUAUUAAAGAAUUUCGGUUAUCGAUGGGGAUGCGUUCCAUUAGGCAGUUGGCGGGGUAACGGCCCACCAAACCUACGAUGGAUAGGGGUUCUGAGAGGAAGGUCCCCCACAUUGGAACUGAGACACGGUCCAA
rnacentral:rRNA from 1 species